ACAAAUGUACCCAAAGGCAGUAUUUGGUAUUUCCAUUCAUUAAUUUAAUAGGGAAUAAUAAUAGAAUUGACAUUU
rnacentral:tmRNA from 1 species